UGGGGAAUAUUGCACAAUGGGCGCAAGCCUGAUGCAGCCAUGCCGCGUGUAUGAAGAAGGCCUUCGGGUUGUAAAGUACUUUCAGCGAGGAGGAAGGCAUUGUGGUUAAUAACCGCAGUGAUUGACGUUACUCGCAGAAGAAGCACCGGCUAACUCCGUGCCAGCAGCCGCGGUAAUACGGAGGGUGCAAGCGUUAAUCGGAAUUACUGGGCGUAAAGCGCACGCAGGCGGUCUGUCAAGUCGGAUGUGAAAUCCCCGGGCUCAACCUGGGAACUGCAUUCGAAGCUGGCAGGCUAGAGUCUUGUAGAGGGGGGUAGAAUUCCAGGUGUAGCGGUGAAAUGCGUAGAGAUCUGGAGGAAUACCGGUGGCGAAGGCGGCCCCCUGGACAAAGACUGACGCUCAGGUGCGAAAGCGUGGGGAGCAAACA
rnacentral:rRNA from 1 species